rnacentral:rRNA from 1 species
CGAAUGCUGACAUAAGUAACGAUAAAGCGGGUGAAAAGCCCGCUCGCCGGAAGACCAAGGGUUCCUGUCCAACGUUAAUCGGGGCAGGGUGAGUCGACCCCUAAGGCGAGGCCGAAAGGCGUAGUCGAUGGGAAACAGGUUAAUAUUCCUGUACUUGGUGUUACUGCGAAGGGGGGACGGAGAAGGCUAUGUUGGCCGGGCGACGGUUGUCCCGGUUUAAGCGUGUAGGCUGGUUUUCCAGGCAAAUCCGGAAAAUCAAGGCUGAGGCGUGAUGACGAGGCACUACGGUGCUGAAGCAACAAAUGCCCUGCUUCCAGGAAAAGCCUCUAAGCAUCAGGUAACAUCAAAUCGUACCCCAAACCGACACAGGUGGUCAGGUAGAGAAUACCAAGGCGCUUGAGAGAACUCGGGUGAAGGAACUAGGCAAAAUGGUGCCGUAACUUCGGGAGAAGGCACGCUGAUAUGUAGGUGAAGUCCCUCGCGGAUGGAGCUGAAAUCAGUCGAAGAUACCAGCUGGCUGCAACUGUUUAUUAAAAACACAGCACUGUGCAAACACGAAAGUGGACGUAUACGGUGUGACGCCUGCCCGGUGCCGGAAGGUUAAUUGAUGGGGUUAGCGCAAGCGAAGCUCU